rnacentral:rRNA from 1 species
GAUGAACGCUGACAGAAUGCUUAACACAUGCAAGUCUACUUGAACUUCGGUUUGGGUGGCGGACGGGUGAGUAACGCGUAAAGAACUUGCCUCACAGUUAGGGACAACAUUUGGAAACGAAUGCUAAUACCUGAUAUUAUGAUUUUAGGGCAUCCUAAAAUUAUGAAAGCUAUAUGCGCUGUGAGAGAGCUUUGCGUCCCAUUAGCUAGUUGGAGAGGUAACGGCUCACCAAGGCGAUGAUGGGUAGCCGGCCUGAGAGGGUGAACGGCCACAAGGGGACUGAGACACGGCCCUUACUCAUACGGGAGGCAGCAGUGGGGAAUAUUGGACAAUGGACCAAAAGUCUGAUCCAGAAAUUCUGUGUGCACGAUGACGUUUUUCGGAAUGUAAAGUGCUUUCAGUUGGGAAGAAAAAAAUGACGGUACCAACAGAAGAAGUGACGGCUAAAUACGUG